rnacentral:rRNA from 1 species
UACGGAGGGUGCGAGCGUUGUCCGGAAUCACUGGGCGUAAAGGGCGCGUAGGCGGCCUGAUAAGUAGGGGGUGAAAUCCUGCGGCUUAACCGCAGGGCUGCCUUCUAAACUGUCAGGCUAGAGCACAGUAGAGGCAGGUGGAAUUCCCGGUGUAGCGGUGGAAUGCGUAGAGAUCCGGAAGAACACCGGUGGCGAAGGCGGUCUGCUGGGCAGUAGCUGACACUGAGGCGCGACAGCGUGGGGAGCAAACAGG